rnacentral:rRNA from 1 species
GACGAACGCUGGCGGCGCGCCUAACACAUGCAAGUCGAACGAGCGAGAGAGAGCUUGCUUUCUCAAGCGAGUGGCGAACGGGUGAGUAACGCGUGAGGAACCUGCCUCAAAGAGGGGGACAACGGUUGGAAACGACUGCUAAUACCGCAUAAGCCCACGACCCGGCAUCGGGUAGAGGGAAAAGGAGCAAUCCGCUUUGAGAUGGCCUCGCGUCCGAUUAGCUAGUUGGUGAGGUAACGGCCCACCAAGGCGACGAUCGGUAGCCGGACUGAGAGGUUGAACGGCCACAUUGGGACUGAGACACGGCCCAGACUCCUACGGGAGGCAGCAGUGGGGAAUAUUGCACAAUGGGGGAAACCCUGAUGCAGCGACGCCGCGUGGAGGAAGAAGGUCUUCGGAUUGUAAACUCCUGUUGUUGAGGAAGAUAAUGACGGUACUCAACAAGGAGGUGACGGCUAACUACGUG